rnacentral:rRNA from 1 species
AAUGAACGCUGGCGGCGUGCUUUACACAUGCAAGUCGAGCGAGGCGGCCCGCAAGGGUCAGUCGAGCGGCGAACGGGUGAGUAACGCGUGGAUGACCUGCCCUUUAGUGGGGAACAACCAGGGGAAACUCUGGCUAAUACCGCAUAAGACCGAAAGGUGAAAGGGGGCUCGCAAGGGCGUCUCGCUGAAGGAGGGGUCCGCGUCCGAUUAGCUAGUUGGUGGGGUAAUGGCCUACCAAGGCGACGAUCGGUAGCCGGCCUGAGAGGGUGAUCGGCCACACUGGAACUGAGACACGGUCCAGACUCCUACGGGAGGCAGCAGUGGGGAAUUUUGCGCAAUGGGCUAACGCCUGACGCAGCAACGCCGCGUGGAGGAUGAAGGUCUUUGGA